CGGGACACGUGGUAUCCUGUCUGAAUAUGGGGGGACCAUCCUCCAAGGCUAAAUACUCCUGACUGACCGAUAGUGAACCAGUACCGUGAGGGAAAGGCGAAAAGAACCCCGGCGAGGGGAGUGAAAAAGAACCUGAAACCGUGUACGUACAAGCAGUGGGAGCCUCUUUAUGGGGUGACUGCGUACCUUUUGUAUAAUGGGUCAGCGACUUAUAUUCUGUAGCAAGGUUAACCGAAUAGGGGAGCCGAAGGGAAACCGAGUCUUAACUGGGCGUUAAGUUGCAGGGUAUAGACCCGAAACCCGGUGAUCUAGCCAUGGGCAGGUUGAAGGUUGGGUAACACUAACUGGAGGACCGAACCGACUAAUGUUGAAAAAUUAGCGGAUGACUUGUGGCUGGGGGUGAAAGGCCAAUCAAACCGGGAGAUAGCUGGUUCUCCCCGAAAGCUAUUUAGGUAGCGCCUCGUGAAUUCAUCUCCGGGGGUAGAGCACUGUUUCGGCAAGGGGGUCAUCCCGACUUACCAACCCGAUGCAAACUGCGAAUACCGGAGAAUGUUAUCACGGGAGACACACGGCGGGUGCUAACGUCCGUCGUGAAGAGGGAAACAACCCAGACCGCCAGCUAAGGUCCCAAAGUCAUGGUUAAGUGGGAAACGAUGUGGGAAGGCCCAGACAGCCAGGAUGUUGGCUUAGAAGCAGCCAUCAUUUAAAGAAAGCGUAAUAGCUCACUGGUCGAGUCGGCCUGCGCGGAAGAUGUAACGGGGCUAAACCAUGCACCGAAGCUGCGGCAGCGACGCUUAUGCGUUGUUGGGUAGGGGAGCGUUCUGUAAGCCUGUGAAGGUGUGCUGUGAGG
rnacentral:rRNA from 1 species